CAGCCCUCCCACUCGGUCUUGUUAUUAGAACUUCAUUGGGAUUCUCCUGGUUCCCCUUUGGGCUGACUGGCCUGAUGCACCCUUUCAAAAGGGCUGCCCAGCCCCCACCCUGAACCCAUCCGUGCUAGCCUCACAGCCAGCCACUUGCAUACUGAUUUGUUGAAGCCAGUUCCUGAGUAAACUGACUCCCGAUGGUUGGUGUAGGAUAAAGAGAGGAAAAUUAGCUGUUACUCCCCAAAGUGUGUGGGAAACGCAUGCACUGUGGCCUCGGAAGCAGCCCCCAACUUGGCUCCCGAUGCUUGAGACUUCUGGCACGCUUCUCAGGCCCCACUUUGAGUUUCAGUUU
rnacentral:lncRNA from 1 species